CGUGUAGGCGGUUUGGCAAGUCGAGUGUGAAAUCCCACGGCUCAACCGUGGAACUGCGCUCGAAACUGCCUUACUUGAGUGCGGGAGAGGUGUGCGGAAUUCCUGGUGUAGCGGUGGAAUGCGUAGAUAUCAGGAAGAACACCGGUGGCGAAGGCGGCACACUGGCCCAGCACUGGCGCUGAGGCGCGAAAGCGUGGGGAGCGAACG
rnacentral:rRNA from 1 species